UAAUAAUAUAAAACUGUUAGACCCCGAAAAUAAAAGAUCUAAAAAUAUUUCACCAUUUAGAGUUAUUACAUAGUAUUGUUGCAUUACUACUUAAAGAUAUGUUUUUAGGGGCGAAAGGCCUUCACUUUUAUUGAUAUCUGGAUAAAUAUUAAAUAAAUUUAGUUUAAGAUAUAAUUAUAAUGUGAUAAGAUAUUAUAAGAUGAAAUUACUAAAUGGAGAUUAAAAUCAUUAACUAAUACUUAGCGAUGCUACUUUUGUGAUAAUAUGUCUCUACUUAUUAUUCUAUUGUAAUAUUUUAUUUUAAUUAAAUCAUAUUAAGAUAAGUAAUGUAUAAAUUAGUAUAUAUAUAUAUAAUAAAUUUGAGUGAAGGAAUUCGGCAAGUAUUUUGUACGACUGUUUAUCAAAAACAUAGCCAGUAGAUAAUAAAUUACUGGUGUGACCUGCCCAGUGAGAUUUUUAACGGCCGCAGUACCCUGACUGUGCAAAGGUAGCAUAAUCAUUUGGCUUUUAAUUGAAGUCUCGUAUGAAAGGAAAAACGUAUAAAGACUGUCUCCAGAGAUAAAUUUGUUAAAGUUGCUCUAUAAGGUGAAAAGACCUUAGAUAAUAAUAAUAGACGAGAAGACCCUUAGAAUUUUAAUAAAAUCAAAAACUAUAAAUGUGGUAAUUUUUGUUGGGGCAACACUUUUCCAUAAAAUAAAAAUACCUACUAACUAUAUAACGAAUAAGUAUAAUAAAAUAUAAAUUACCUAAGGGAUAACAGCAUAAUUUUAAGUAGAGAUUGUGACCUCGAUGUUGGACUAGGAACUAUUAAGGCUAAUCGUUUUAAUAUAAUAGGUUCUGUUCGAACUUUAUUUCCUA
rnacentral:rRNA from 1 species